AGAGAAAAAAAAUCAUGGAGUCGUGCCCGCUGCUCAGACCUUGUCUAAUAAUGACGCAGGGCAGACAGCUGGUCGAACGUGACGUAUUUCAUUCAUAAAUAUAGGAACAGCGGGAAUCAGACCCUCUGACUCACUGUGUUAUAUUUGUUGAAUGAUCCCAUUGGGCGUCACAGCAAAAGGGGGGAGUGGGGCGCACGAACGAUCGGGGCGGGGGUGGUCUCCAAGUGCCCACUUCACAUCGCAGAUAUACUUCCGCCAUGUCGAGACUUUUUUAUACCGUGUAAUUAGUGUGUCACGUUUGAAGGACAUGAAAGGAGUUGCUUCGAUUGGCCAUUAUUGAAGUUGGCCGUGACCACUCCCACAGCAGCUCAGAUUUCCUUUCUCAGAUCCACCAGCCUCUGCUGGUCUUUGACGGGCUGACCACAACCUAUCUUUCUCUCUCUCUCUCUUGCUGUCCUCUUUUCAGCCAUGUAUAUAGAAAGAGGCUUUAAAAUUCUGGAAAUUCAAGCUGUUUUAAACUGCUCCUUGAAAAAUGGAUGCUACUUUGGCUAGCAUCUUUCUUAAGCCUACAAAAAAACAACACGUUUGAAGUGCGAAAAUAUAUCCACAUCCAGUGGCUGGAGUGUAUCCCACUGGGUUGUCACGAGGCUUUUUUUUUUUCUCCAUGCGGCGACAAUGAGGCGCUCCUAAGCGACCAUGCCGUGUGAAGCCUCUGACCACACACUGGCUGUGGAGUCAAACUUAUUUAUAAUUUCUUUUUUUUUUUUUUUAAUGUUCCCCAUCUUCUCGCUUCUGUAUUUCUCUCACACUCUCACGGCUCACAACGAGGCGUUCUAAUGCAGCCGCGCCAACAGGCGAUUGGAUGAGAAGACGCAACGCUAGAUGCUAAGUGCACAUCACAAUUGCGCCGGGUUAACCGCAGAGGACGGCACGGAAGUUAUUAUAAAGCGGGGGAAGGGCGACUCACACCAGACUCCAAAAUUUUCGUACCUUGCUGACAGUUUUGGUCGCGUCUCCAGCCUUCGUCGUAGCUGUUACCACUUCCUUCCUCAGUGUGACAUAAUGACCAAUCUUUGCACGUAUUUUCAACAAUGAACGGAUGUAUUUAGAAACAAACUCACUUCACCGGGUCUUGAAUAAAUUCAAAUUGAAGAACUGCGCCUCUUGCAUGCUGCCAUUUUUGACGUAUGAAAACCAGCGAAGGAAAAUUUUUCAAUGCCCACACCUCAGAACUGUGCGGCAGGCAAACGUGCUAACCACUCCCGCGUUGCGCUUCCCUUAAUACUCGUACACAUCUGUUUUCACACGCACACACCCAUCCACACCGCCGUGUUUAUAUUGAAGCUAUAACGGUAUGUGUCGUUUUCAAGAAUUUCACUUGCAAAAUGUUCGCCUUCUCUCUCCAACUGAAAUCCACAAAUCCACGGCCACCUAUUUGAAGUGUUUCGUCCCCCUAUCCGCAGUCCCGUUUGGCCUUUCUCUUGCAUCGUUGAGUAAACAUGCGGCCAACGCGACAGCCGGCUACCUUCCAGCACCUUCCGCAGCCACUGUUUACAUUUCAGUGACAUUAAACAACAGACAAGCUCACUUUGUGUGGAGUUUCUACAGAGUGUCUGGGAACGGGGGACGUGGGGGGGCCGGGAGAGCAAGCAGCUUCACUCCGAGGCAAUGACUCUGGAGGCCACGGCAAAAAUGACAGAGACGAAUCCAGAAUUUUUGAAUCGGGGACGUCCUCCGUGUCGCCGAACGAGCUUGUCUAGGCAAAAAUACGUUGCAAUCAAUGAUUGACUCUCCCCUGCAGAAAUGUUCCCGGCUCCUCUGUUACGACACUUCGCGUCCAAACCUCGAGGACUGGAGAGGUGCCCAGGAAAACAUCAAUAACAUUCCUCUGCCUCUUACAUGCGUGAACACAUACACACAUGCACACGCACACUCAAAUGCAUCCACACACCCCUGUUGGAUGCGCGGGCAACUCCGACCAAUCAUCGGGCUUUGCUGU